rnacentral:lncRNA from 1 species
CUUCCUUCUCGGCUCAACUAGGUCAGCGCAAGGAACUGGUUCCCUCCUUCCUCUUCCACCUGCCCUACCUUCUCCAGAGAUCCGACGUGGCGAUUAGAGUUCUCAGCGUCACACUGACUUCUAGGCAACUAGCCUAGACUGGAGCUGCGUGUUGUGGGAACCCCGCGGCAGUAGUUGAGCAUCAGGCUCUUACCUUGGAGGUGGAGGGGUGAGAAGAAUGGAGGAAGAAGGGAUAAGUCAGAGGAGGGCCUGAACAACUAGCCCCUCUAUUGGCCUGCUUUGGGUGAGCAUUCAGUGAGUGUGUUUAAAAAAAA